GACGAACGCUGGCGGCGUGCUUAACACAUGCAAGUCGAACGGAAAGGCCCUGCUUUUGUGGGGUGCUCGAGUGGCGAACGGGUGAGUAACACGUGAGUAACCUGCCCUUGACUUUGGGAUAACUUCAGGAAACUGGGGCUAAUACCGGAUAGGAGCUCCUGCUGCAUGGUGGGGGUUGGAAAGUUUCGGCGGUUGGGGAUGGACUCGCGGCUUAUCAGCUUGUUGGUGGGGUAGUGGCUUACCAAGGCUUUGACGGGUAGCCGGCCUGAGAGGGUGACCGGCCCCAAUUGGGACGGAGUUGCCGCCCGGCCUCCGGCGGGGGGCAGCGGGGGGAAUUUUGGCACACGGGGAGGAGGCCGGAGACCGCACCCCCGCGUGCGGAGGGGGGGCUUGGGGUUUUUAACCCGUUUCCCCCGGUAAGGAAGGGGGGGGCCGGUGAUGGGAUAAAGAGCCCCGCCCUACCUCGGUC
rnacentral:rRNA from 1 species